rnacentral:rRNA from 1 species
GACAGAGGGUGCAAACGUUGUUCGGAAUUACUGGGCGUAAAGCGCGUGUAGGCGGCCAUCUAAGUCGGGCGUGAAAUCCCACGGCUCAACCGUGGAAGUGCACUCGAAACUGGAUGGCUAGAGUCCUGGAGAGGAAGGUGGAAUGCUUGGUGUAGAGGUGAAAUUCGUAGAUAUCAAGCGGAACACCGGUGGCGAAGGCGGCCUCUGGACAGUGACUGACGCUG